rnacentral:rRNA from 1 species
CCUCGGGAAACUGAGAGUAAUACCGUAUGUGCCCCUCGGGGGAAAGAUUUAUCGCCUUUGGAUCGGCCCGCGUUGGAUUAGGUAGUUGGUGGGGGUAAUGGCCUACCAAGCCGACGAUCCAUAGCUGGUUUGAGAGGAUGAUCAGCAACACUGGGACUGAGACACGGCCCAGACUCCUACGGGAGGCAGCAGUGGGGAAUCUUAGACAAUGGGGGAAACCCUGAUCUAGCCAUGCCGCGUGGACGAUGAAGGCCUUAGGGUUGUAAAGUCCUUUCAGCUGGGAAGAUAAUGACGGUACCAGCAGAAGAAGCCCCGGCUAACUCCGUG